rnacentral:other from 1 species
AGUUAGCUGCACUUCGCGUUAGAAGAUACUUUUCCUUGGGGCCUUAAAGAUCCGAAUGGGAGCUGGCUCUGAUAAGGACCGUGGUCCUCUUCAUACCGGCACCCACCUGUAACACAGGUGUCCCAGGAUCCGUUUACUCUUCGACGGUCGUUGCGGCUUCCUU